rfam:Anaerobacillus sp. NB2006 Ga0137927_1068, whole genome shotgun sequence.
AUAAAAAAAUCCUCGUAGGUUUACCUACGAGGUGCCUAAUGGCAAAAACAAAAACAGAUUCACUUUUGUUUUUGCACGAGGCUAUGGGAGAGGAGAAACCGGAGGAAGAACUUAUGGGGAAACGUAAGCCUUCUCCGCGG